CAGCAGCCGCGGUAAUACCGGCGGCCCGAGUGGCGGUCACUAUUAUUGGGCUUAAAACGUCCGUAGCCGGGUUGGGAAGUCCUCCGGGAAAUCUGGCCGCUUAACGGUCAGAAUGCCGGAGGAUACUCCCAGCCUAGGGAGCGGGAGAGGCCGAGGGGAUUCCCGGAGUAGGGGGGAAAUCCUAUAAUCCCGGGAGGACCACCUGUGGCGAAGGCGCUCGGCUGGAACGCGUCCGACGGUGAGGGACGAAGGCCAGGGGAGCAAACCGGAUUAGAUACCCGGGUAGUCCUGGCGGUAAACGAUGCGGACUUUGUGUCGGACAAGCUAUGAGCUUGUCCGGUGCCGGAGGGAAACCGUUAAGUCCGCCGCCUGGGGAGUACGGCCGCAAGGCUGAAACUUAAAGGAAUUGGCGGG
rnacentral:rRNA from 1 species